rnacentral:rRNA from 1 species
UACGAAGGGGGCUAGCGUUGUUCGGAAUCACUGGGCGUAAAGGGCGCGUAGGCGGCCGUUCAAGUCGGGGGUGAAAGCCUGUGGCUCAACCACAGAAUUGCCUUCGAUACUGGACGGCUCGAGACCGGAAGAGGUCAGUGGAACUGCGAGUGUAGAGGUGAAAUUCGUAGAUAUUCGCAAGAACACCAGUGGCGAAGGCGGCUGACUGGUCCGGUUCUGACGCUGAGGAGCGAAAGCAUGGGGAGCGAACAGG